rnacentral:tRNA from 1 species
GCGUGGCGGGUCGUGGGUAAUGGCCGGCUGAAGCUCGGCGACGUCGCAACGGCCCUGCCGCUGUUCGAGCGGGCGAUCAUGCUC